rnacentral:rRNA from 1 species
CCAGAAGUGGUUAGCCUAACCUUCGGGAGGGCGAUCACCACGGUGUGGUUCAUGACUGGGGUGAAGUCGUAACAAGGUAGCCCUAGGGGAACCUGGGGCUGGAUCACCUCCUUAUCGACA